rnacentral:rRNA from 1 species
GUAGGUGGCAAGCGUUGUCCGGAAUUAUUGGGCGUAAAGCGCGCGCAGGCGGUUCUUUAAGUCUGAUGUGAAAGCCCACGGCUCAACCGUGGAGGGUCAUUGGAAACUGGAGAACUUGAGUACAGAAGAGGAAAGCGGAAUUCCACGUGUAGCGGUGAAAUGCGUAGAGAUGUGGAGAAACACCAGUGGCGAAGGCGGCUUUCUGGUCUGUAACUGACGCUGAGGCGCGAAAGCGUGGGGGAGCAAACAGGAUUAGAUACCCUGGUAGUCCACGCCGUAAACGAUGAGUGCUAAGUGUUAGGGGGUUUCCGCCCCUUAGUGCUGCAGCUAACGCAUUAAGCACUCCGCCUGGGAGUACGGCCGCAAGGCUG